CGGGGAGCGAAGCUUGCUUUGCUCCGCCGGCGACCGGCGCACGGGUGAGUAACGCGUAUGCAACCUGCCCGUUUCAGCGGGAUAACCCGGAGAAAUCCGGCCUAAUACCGCAUGUGGCCGAGGGGAGGCAUCUUCUUUCGGCCAAAGGAGGCGACUCCGGAGACGGAUGGGCAUGCGUGACAUUAGCUUGUUGGCGGGGUAACGGCCCACCAAGGCGACGAUGUCUAGGGGUUCUGAGAGGAAGGUCCCCCACACUGGUACUGAGACACGGACCAGACUCCUACGGGAGGCAGCAGUGAGGAAUAUUGGUCAAUGGGCGAGAGCCUGAACCAGCCAAGUCGCGUGAAGGAUGACGGCCCUACGGGUUGUAAACUUCUUUUGUCAGGGAGCAAUUGAGUCCACGUGUGGGCUUAGCGAGAGUACCUGAAGAAAAAGCAUCGGCUAACUCCGUGCCAGCAGCCGCGGUAAUACGGAGGAUGCGAGCGUUAUCCGGAUUUAUUGGGUUUAAAGGGUGCGUAGGCGGAAUGUCAAGUCAGCGGUAAAAAUUCGGGGCUCAACCCCGUCGUGCCGUUGAAACUGAUGUUCUUGAGUGGGCGAGAAGUAUGCGGAAUGCGUGGUGUAGCGGUGAAAUGCAUAGAUAUCACGCAGAACUCCGAUUGCGAAGGCAGCAUACCGGCGCCCAACUGACGCUGAAGCACGAAAGCGUGGGUAUCGAACAGGAUUAGAUACCCUGGUAGUCCACGCAGUAAACGAUGAAUGCUAAUUGUCCGGAGGGAUUGACCUCUGGGUGAUACAGCGAAAGCGUUAAGCAUUCCACCUGGGGAGUACGCCGGCAACGGUGAAACUCAAAG
rnacentral:rRNA from 1 species